CACCAACCAAUUUUGCAGAGCUGGAUACUCUGAGAAAAGCACAUUAGCAAAACCAACCGUGGCCCUGUCUGGAAACAAACUGACGACGAUUCUCAGUGAAUUUCUGUACUCUAGAUCGUGUGCGGUUUCACCAAGUUUAAUUUAUUAACUAUUUCCAGCAUUUUAUAUAAUGUUCUUUGCCUAUUCUGACCAGUGUAUAAACAUAUUCUGCUCUCGCGUUAAAUUAGAAGUGCAGGUUUCAUAUUUACAGCCGUGGCAAACAAGAAUUAGGUCACAACUAAUCUUUGUCAAUGAGACGACAGGCGAAGAUCGCAUUCUGCUACAAACCUGAUAGGAAGAUGUUGGAGGGAACAUUAACCUACUUAAUGACACUUAACUGAUUGCAGGCAGGUGCACAUAGUGAGACCUUUGGUACAUGAAGCCGAAAGAAAAAUACAUCUUUUGUUCAUGGAAGGGAGAAUGGGAUAGAGAUGAAUGAUUAUAUAAUAGAGGCAGUAUACGUUAAGAACAGAUGGAACUUGACUUUUACAAUUUUUUGAAAUCGCUGUUAAAAUUGACUCCUUGUUUCGGUUGGUGUUAAUUUCUGAAUUGGUUUAUUUUGUCAGAAUUGGC